UAGAUAGGUACCACAAUAUUUUUGUCUAUUCGUCUGGUAUUUUCUUUGUUCUCAAUACCUUGUUGAACAGUUUCGUCAGUCAUUCAAUGCCAAUUUCCCCUAUGCACUUUCAAACUUCUAUCGGGAUACCAUCUGGUCCAAAGCCUUUCCUAUCUUCAUCAUUUUCAAAGCUUCUUUCACUUUUGAUGUCCUAAUCCUACGAAUGUAUCUAUGACCUCCGCCGUCACUUGUACCAGCAGUCCCUUCUACCACUAUGUUCCCAUUUUCUUCGUCAUAUAUUUGACACUUUAUAUUUCAAAUAAGCUGUGUGUAUUUUUUGACAUGCCAGAAUUAUAUAGUCAAGGAACUAUGGUGGUACAAAUAAUUACUAAAGUUCAAGCUAUGGACAAAUCCCCCUAAGUGGUUUUGAAUUUUUUCCUUUCUCUUUUUUUCUCUUAUAGGUUUAGGUAUUUGAAACUGAAUUCCUAGCCAAAAUUUUCAAUAGUCUGCUGGUUGCCCUUUUCUGUUGUUUCUGUUUACUAGAUUAGACUGGGUUUUUCAGGGGCUUC
rnacentral:lncRNA from 1 species